rnacentral:rRNA from 1 species
GACGAACCACACGAACGUUAUUCGGAAUCACUGGGCUUAAAGGGUGCGUAGGCUGCGCAGAAAGUUGGGUGUGAAAUCCCUCGGCUCAACCGAGGAACUGCGCCCAAAACUACUGUGCUCGAGGGAGAUAGAGGUGAGCGGAACUUAGGGUGGAGCGGUGAAAUGCGUUGAUAUCCUAAGGAACACCCGUGGCGAAAGCGGCUCACUGGAUCUCUUCUGACGCUGAGGCACGAAAGCUAGGGGAGCGAACGGG